rnacentral:rRNA from 1 species
UACGUAGGGGGCAAGCGUUGUCCGGAAUCAUUGGGCGUAAAGCGCGUGUAGGCGGCUGACUAAGUCCGCUCUGAAAGCCCAGGGCUCAACCCCGGGAGGCGGGUGGAUACUGGUCAGCUCGAGUCCGGAAGAGGAGUGUGGAAUUCCUGGUGUAGCGGUGAAAUGCGCAGAUAUCAGGAGGAACACCAAUGGCGAAGGCAGCACUCUGGGACGGUACUGACGCUGAGACGCGAAAGCGUGGGGAGCAAACAGG